UACGAAGGGGGCUAGCGUUGCUCGGAAUUACUGGGCGUAAAGGGCGCGUAGGCGGCACUGUUAGUCAGGCGUGAAAGUCCUGGGCUCAACCUGGGAACUGCGCUUGAUACGGCAGAGCUAGAGGAUGGAAGAGGCUCGCGGAAUUCCCAGUGUAGAGGUGAAAUUAGUAGAUAUUGGGAAGAACACCGGUGGCGAAGGCGGCGAGCUGGUCCAUUACUGACGCUGAGGCGCGACAGCGUGGGGAGCAAACAGG
rnacentral:rRNA from 1 species